UACGGAGGGUGCAAGCGUUGUUCGGAAUCAUUGGGCGUAAAGCGCGCGCAGGCGGCUUGCCAAGUCUGAUGUGAAAUCCCGGGGCUCAACCUCGGAACUGCAUUGGAAACUGGUAGGCUUGAGUAUGUGAGGGGUUAGUGGAAUUCCUGGUGUAGGGGUGAAAUCCGUAGAGAUCAGGAGGAACACCGGUGGCGAAGGCGACUGACUGGAACAUAACUGACGCUGAGGCGCGAAAGCGUGGGUAGCAAACAGG
rnacentral:rRNA from 1 species